CGAGGGCUGCUGGGUCCUGGCGGCUCCCUCAAGUAGGCUCGAUGCCGGAAAAUCAGCCCUGCCUGGCCCGAUCCCCCGCUCCGCUGCAGAACGCGUCUGCCCCGGAGCCGAUCGCCUCGGCAUACCUUACACCAGGUAUAAAAGCUUCUGUCAUCGAACAAACUUAAACUGAUUGUGGAAAAUCCAGAAAAACCUGUUGCAGCUGAUGUAGAAUAUUGUCCUGAGAGUGAGGAAGAUCUCAAAGACUGACUACUUCUUUUAAUAGGAAAAGAGUUGAUAUCCCCUUGUUCGGAUAUGAAGGCGGAUGUCUGUGUGAACUACUAAAAAUAGCUGUCUCUACAUAUGUUCUGCCAGAGCACACUUCCUAGAAGAAAAAAAACUAUUUUUAUUUGCUACUAUUUUGGAGAUUAAGUCCACGCUGUUAUCUGGAAACUGAUUCAGAGAUUAAUUUCGGUACAGUGACUGCAAACAGUAAAGUAAUUAGUAAAGAGAUCAAUAUUGCUAACCAUGGAUCAUCAUCAGGUACGUUUGAGAUAUCAUAUGAUGGGAUUGUGUUACUUAACAUAACAACUUCCAGUGGAGUGGUGGAUCCUGAAAGGUGGUCAAAGUGGCUAUCUGUACAGAUGUCCCAAGAGUCAUCAAAGAAGUGAUAAAAGUGGAGUUGGAAGGACAUGGCUGCACUGAAGUAUGGAUCAAAGCUGUUGUGGUUGAACUAAUUCUGAAAGUUCUAGGAGUGUCUUCUGGAAAUGUAUUGGAAUGCGUUAAUUUUGGAUCAGUUUACUUUGGGUCUUCAAAGACUGAACAAAUAUGUUUAUACAAGAAAAGUCCAGAGUGUAUGGACUGGGUAGCAAUACUGGAAGACAAUAGCAUUGGAGGAGAGAUGGGAACAGAUCUUCAGAGGAGUGCAGAUGCUGUUUUACAAGAUUUAAGCCUCAUAAAUAAAACAGAAGAUGUAAAUGUUUCCACUUUGAUCCUGUGCUUUCCCAAUCAAGGAACCUUACUACCUUAUGAGAAGUCUUUUCUUACGUUGUGCUUUAGUCCAAAUUGAGUUAAUGGUCCAAAUUACAAACGAGAAAAAAAAAAAGAGAAAAAAAAAAAAAAGAAAAAAAAAGUUUGUCUGUUAUGUAAAGAAAUGUGUUAGAGAAAUCAUUUUUUAAGUUAAUAUGCAGGUUGUUUUUUUUAAUUACUUGAUACUUACGUGUGUUAAAAGAAAUUCCUUAGUGUGAUACUAAAAAUGAUAAAGCCAAAUCGGAAGUGAUUAUCUGGGAGAUGUCUUAUAAUUCAUUAAGAAUGCCUUUGAAUCGGGAAUUGGUUAAGCUUGUUUUGACUGAAGAAUUUUAUUAGAUUUUUUGCAAAGGGAACUAAUUACUUCUGCAAUUAAUUAUGUUGAAUCUCUAAAGAUUGUUGAGGAAGUUGUGCAGUGUCGAAUUAAAUGCCUUUCUCAGGACUGUAGACUUAUUUCAUGAAGAUGUCGCAUAUGUGCAGUGAUAGGAUAUUUCAUUAGCAGGAGAACGAAACAUUUGCAAGCUUUCCUUACAAUUACAAAACAGUAGAUGUAAAGAAACAUUUUUCCUUCAAGCAAGGGGGAGAAAAAGAAUAAAUUGAAAAAGCAAAUUUUCUUACUGAAACUCUUCUUUAAAGAUUACAUGCACGUGAAUCACUUAUAGAAAACUCUUGUAGAUGUAUGC